rnacentral:rRNA from 1 species
AUUGAACGCUGGCGGCAGGCCUAACACAUGCAAGUCGAGCGAGCGGCGGACGGGUGAGUAAUGUCUGGGAAACUGCCUGAUGGAGGGGGAUAACUACUGGAAACGGUAGCUAAUACCGCAUACCAUCAGAUGUGCCCAGAUGGGAUUAACGAGGAGGUGGGGUAACGUCUCACCUAGGCGGCGAUCCCUAGCUGGUCUGAGAGGAUGACCAGCCACACUGGAACGGGGCAACGGUCCAGACUCGUACGGGAGGCAGCAGUGGGGAAUAUUGCACAAUGGGCGCAAGCCUGAUGCAGCCAUGCCGCGUGUGUGAAGAAGGCCUUCGGGUUGUAAAGCACUUUCAGCGGGGAGGCGUUACCCGCAGAAGAAGCACCGGCUAACUCCGUGCCAGCAGCCGCGGUAAUUC